rnacentral:rRNA from 1 species
GGAGGAAUAUUGGUCAAUGGGGCGAGAGCCUGAACCAGCCAAGUAGCGUGCAGGACGACGGCCCUAUGGGUUGUAAACUGCUUUUAUAAGGGAAUAAAGUGGGUCACGUGUGACUUUUUGCAUGUACCUUAUGAAUAAGGACCGGCUAAUUCCGUGCCAGCAGCCGCGGUAAUACGAAAGGUCCGGGCGUUAUCCGGAUUUAUUGGGUUUAAAGGGAGCGUAGGCCGGAGAUUAAGCGUGUUGUGAAAUGUAGUGGCUCAACCUCUGCACUGCAGCGCGAACUGGAUGACUUGAGUUCGCGGGAGGUAGGCGGAAUUCGUGGUGUAGCGGUGAAAUGCUUAGAUAUCACGAAGAACUCCGAUUGCGAAGGCAGCUUACCGUAGCGUUACUGACGCUGAAGCUCGAAAGUGCGGGGU